rnacentral:rRNA from 1 species
GCCACCAUUUAAAGAAAGCGUAAUAGCUCACUGGUCGAGUCGGCCUGCGCGGAAGAUGUAACGGGGCUAAACCAUGCACCGAAGCUGCGGCAGCGACAUGAAUGUGUUGUUGGGUAGGGGAGCGUUCUGUAAGCCGUUGAAGGUGAACUGUGAGGUUUGCUGGAGGUAUCAGAAGUGCGAAUGCUGACAUAAGUAACGAUAAAGCGGGUGAAAAACCCGCUCGCCGGAAGACCAAGGGUUCCUGUCCAACGUUAAUCGGGGCAGGGUGAGUCGACCCCUAAGGCGAGGCCGACAGGCGUAGUCGAUGGGCAACGGGUUAAUAUUCCCGUACCCGGUGUUACUGCGAAGGGGGGACGGAGAAGGCUAGGCUGGCCGGGCGACGGUUUGUCCCGGUUUAAGCGUGUAGGUGGGGUGACCUGGCAAAUCCGGUCACCUGUGAACACUGAGGCGUGAUGACGAGGCACUACGGUGCUGAAGUAGCUGAUGCCCUGCUUCCAGGAAAAGCCUCUAAGCACCAGGUAACAUUGGAUCGUACCCCAAACCGACACAGGUGGUCAGGUAGAGAAUACUCAGGCGCUUGAGAGAACUCGGGUGAAGGAACUAGGCAAAAUGGUGCCGUAACUUCGGGAGAAGGCACGCUGGCACUAGGUGAAGGGCCCCGCGCCCGGAGCCGAAGCCAGCCGCAGAUACCAGCUGGCUGCAACUGUUUAAUAAAAACACAGCACUGUGCAAACACGAAAGUGGACGUAUACGGUGUGACGCCUGCCCGGUGCUGGAAGGUUAAUUGAUGGGGUUAGCCGCAAGGCGAAGCUCUUGAUCGAAGCCCCAGUAAACGGCGGC